AUACGGAGGAUGCAAGCGUUAUCCGGAUUUAUUGGGUUUAAAGGGUGCGUAGGCGGAUGAUUAAGCGUGAGGUGAAAUGCCACUGCUCAACAGUGGAACUGCCUCGCGAACUGGUUGUCUUGAAUGCUCCUGCCGUGGGAGGAAUGUGUGGUGUAGCGGUGAAAUGCAUAGAGAUCACACAGAACACCGAUUGCGAAGGCAUCUCACGAAGGGGUGAUUGACGCUGAGGCACGAAAGCGUGGGGAUCAAACAGGAUUAGAUACCCUGGUAGUCCACGCAGUAAACGAUGAUAACUAACCGCUGGGUCGUAGUGAUUCAGUGGCCAAGCGAAAGCGAUAAGUUAUCCACCUGGGGAGUACGAUCGCAAGGUUGAAACUCAAAUGAAUUGACGGGG
rnacentral:rRNA from 1 species